AGUGAGGCUGCCUCUGCGUGUGAGGCGACCAGGAGAGGAAAGGACAGACUUGAGCUAUCAGACCUCUCUCCUGGUGGGAUAUUGUUUGUUUCCCCUACCCUGUUCAUUUAAAACCUCUCAGUUAUAAGCUUUGCUCCUCAGUUUAUGCCUCUGUGAUGAUGCUUCAAGAGACAGGGAAACCAGUUUCCUACAUUCCAAAAUAAAAAUGACAUUUUAAAAAGUCUAUCCUUUUAGGCAAUGAAUCAUUUAUCCGGGCAACCCCUUUCGUCAAGGGUCUUCUUCCUUUCAGCCACAUUUCGGGGAUGUCUUCUGUAAGGCAAACGGUUGUGACCAAGUGCGUACUCUGGAAUCCAAAUGAUGCAAGUAGAGUUGAAAAGGAAUUUCAAAAUUACAGGAAAGGAGCUAUGAGGGUAGAGAGGAUGGGUUUAAAAUACAAAUAAGGAAACUUUGUGGAUUGGGGAAGUCAUUGGAGCAAAAUAAUGGGGAAGUUGGAGGCUCAAGAAUAAACAACGUCUAGAAAGUUAGAGGAGUCUGGAGGGCACUUUUGCCUUCUGCAAAUAUCUUGUAUAUUAUUUUGCUACGUGGGGGCUUAAAUUCAUUCUCAUUAAAAGAAGAUAAAGGAACAGUAACACUAGCCUGUCUCAUCUGAUGUUUUUAGGUUUGUUUGUUUUUAUUAUUAUUAUUUCUUUUUAGAGACAGGGUCUUGCUCUGUUGCCCAGGCUGGCAUGCAGUGGCAUGAUCAUAGCUCACUGCAGCCUUGAAAUUCUGGACUCAAGCAAUCCUCCCACCUCAGCCUCCCAAAGUGCUGGGAUAAUAGGCAUGAGCCGCCAUGCCUAGCCUGUUUUUAGUUAUUAUUUAUUUUUUCUUUUUUGGGACAGGGUUUCACUAUUUGGCCCAAGCAGGCUUAACACACUUCCACUUAAUAUGCUAAUAAAGUAAUCAGUAUUUGGAUAAAAAGUUGGCUAAACAUAGAAAUAAUAAUCUAAACUCAAUGUAAUAAUUUACAGAUCAUUUGGGGAUUCUAAACAGGACACAGACAUCUAUUAGCUGAAUAAUAACUAGCAUGUGUAUAGCCAACUUCUUUAUGCCAAUCUUUCUGGAUUGGUGAUAUUAUGGAUUUGUGUUGGAGAAAUAAAUGUAUCCAUUAACAUUUUAGAUCAGCACUUUUAAGCCCCAAAUAAAAAAGGAUAUGCAUUGAUUAGGGUUGUAUCUUUACAACAUUCAAUGAAGUUAUUCUUGGCAUCCUGUUUUGGAGAAAUUGGAUCUGCACUUGUAGGUAUGUUUACAUGUCUUCUUUAAAUAGAAGAUUUCAGGUUUUUUUUUUCUUCUCAUAAGGCCUAGUGAUAUAUGGGUGCUCUU
rnacentral:lncRNA from 10 species